GAUGAAGAACGUAGCUAAAUGCGAUAAGUAAUGUGAAUUGCAGAAUUCAGUGAAUCAUCGAAUCUUUGAACGCACCUUGCGCCCCUUGGUUAUUCCAAAGGGCAUGCCUGUUUGAGUAUCAUGAACACCUCAACUCUUGUGGUUUCCCACAAUGAGCUUGGACUGUGGAGGUUUUGUUGGCCCUGUGGUCAGCUCCUCUCAAAUGGAUCAGCUUACCGGUGUUUGGUGGCAUUACGGGUGUGAUAACUAUCUACGCUCGUGGUCGUCUCCAAAUAACCUCCAGUGAUGGAGGUUCGCUGGAGCUUAUAAAUGUCUCUCCCCAGUGAAGACAGCCUUUGAACGUUCGAUCUCAAAUCAGGUAGGACUACCCGCUGAACUUAAGCAUAUCAAUAAGCGGAGGA
rnacentral:misc_RNA from 1 species